GCCAGGUGUGGUGGCUCAUGCCUGUAAUCCUAGCACUUUGGGAGGCUGAGGCGGGCGGAUCACCUGAGGUCAGGAGUUCAAGACCAGCCUGGCCAACAUGGUGAAACCCCGUCUCUA
rnacentral:SRP_RNA from 2 species